GUUGGGCUUCCAGCCGCUCCAAAUCACCUCCUGGGUCCAUGUGACCGACCCCUGCAUCCAGACAUGUAGGAGGUGGGGAGGUGAGGCAGCAUGAUGGGGCUACUGCUGAAGAGGCCUGGAGACGAGGAGGCUCAGAAGCCUCUGAGUUCCAGGGCAGAUCAGCUUCCAGCUGGCUCAGGCCCACCUAAAGGCUAAUUUCAUAAAACCUAUCUUCAAUCACUUCACAAAUGUUCAUAAGCCACAACUCUUCUGAUGAC
rnacentral:lncRNA from 1 species